AGGACACUCUGUUCUCCAGUUUAGUGUCUCAUCCCUGAUUGAGAUCAGUCAGCCACGGUUUGGCUGCCGUCUCACCCACAGUGAUGAUCUCUCUGUUCCCU